GAUUUCAUGGAGGCCCGGGGCCGCGGGCGCUGUUCUCCUUCCUGUGCCGAGUGUGGUUUGCUAUCAAGCGGUGGCAGUUCAGCCACAAUCAGGGGCAGGGGGAGGGAGAGGCCCCCCGAAGAGGCAGAGGCCCUGCCUCGGCCGCCCUGAGCCUGGAAGGUGAUUGGCUAGAGCGACUCCCGGCCGGGAGCGGAAUGAAUGGCGGGGACCGGGGCCUCUGGGUGGUGCGAGGUAUGUUGGGAGGUGCGGGUUUUAAUCGGCAGUUGGGCAGUUUAGCCACACGGGCCGGGGGCAGGGUGGGGCUGGCAGAGAAGGGAAGCUGGUGAGGCGGAAACAGGGAGGAGUAGGUUUUUCUUUCUUCUCACACCGGCAAACCAGAGGAAGCUUAACCUAUCGGAACCAAUUACUAGCAUGAACCUAGCACUGAGCUCAAAGGCUGAAUUUUAGACCUUUCACUGCUCCCAUGCACACCCUGCCUGGUCACGGCUUCUCACCGUCUUUACCAAGAUCAGUCACACCUGUGAAGCCCUGCUCAUUCAUCUCGCCAAUUCCCUUCUACAGGACCCAGUGCCCAGACGCCACUACCCAAUUCCCCCAGCCUUGGAAUCUCCUCCUCUCUGCCAGGUCCUCACCACUGUGUUCUUGGCGAUUUCACUAAAGAUUCACCUCCUCAAAACUGGCCCCAAUUAGUCCCACCCUGUUCAACCUACUAUCUCCACUUAACGGCAAAUGGCACCUGACACCCUCAGAAGUCAGACUCCUGGCAACUACAAUUACCCAAAAUACGGCAGAAAACUGUCUCGAAGCCCAGGCAACUGAUUCUUGGGAGAAGCUGACUCAUGCUUGGCCUCUACCUAGAGAAAUAAUUCAUAUUUAGAGCUGUGAGAAUAGAUAGCAAAGAGAGAGUAAGAAAAAAGAUGCAUAAAUAUGUACUAACACGUUUUUAUAAUUGCUUUUGUGUUCUUCCUGACAGCAUCAUGUUGCCUUUUAAUAUGGAGCAUGUGCCAUAGCUCUCCAGGAGAACCCCUCUGUGUCACAGCGAACCUCAGUCACUGACACUCAAAAGAAGGAAUUAUUUCAACUCAAUAAUAAACAAAUAACCCUAUUUUAAAAUCAGCAAAGGGUGUUACCACAUUUCCACAGAAGGUAUACAAAUGGCCAGUAAUCAUGUGAAAAGAUGCUUGAUAUCAUUUGUCAUCAGGGAAAUGCAAAUCAAAACUGCAAUGAGAGGCCAGGCGCUGUGGCUCACACCUGUAAUCCCAGCGCUUUGGGAGGCUGAGGCAGGUGGAUCGCUUGAGCCCAGGAGUUCAAACCCAGCCUGACCAACAUGGUGAAACCCCGUCUCUACAAAAAAAUACAAAAAUUAGCCGGGCACAGUGGCCUGUGCCUGUAAUCCCAGCUACUCAGGAGGCUGAGGCAGGAGACUCACUUGAACCCAGGAGGCAGAGGUUGCAGUGAGCCGAGAUUGUGCCAUUGCACUCCAGCCUGGGUGACGGGAGUGAAACCCUGUCUAAAAAAACCCCAAAAACAAAAACUACAAUGACAUAUCACUUUAUAUGCACUAGGAUGCCUAGCAUCAAAAGGUCAAAUAAAACAAGUAUGUGGAGAAACUGCGACCCUCAUACACUGCUGGUGGGAAUGUAAGAUGGUGCAGAAACUUUGGAAAGGAGUCUGGCAGCUCCUCAAAAGGUAAAAGCAUGGAGUUAUCAGGUGGCUCACAAAUUCCAUUCCUAGGGACCUAAAAGAAAUGAAGACAUGCUAUACAAACACCUGAAGACAUGCUAUACUAACACCUGAAGCCAUGCUAUACUAACACCCGAACAUGAAUGUUCAGAACAGCAUCAUUCAUGAUUACCAAGAAGUGGAAAAAACCCAAAUGUCCAUCAACUAACUGACGAGUGGAUACAGUAUAUCCAUGCAGUGGAAUUUCUUUUUCUCUUUCUUUCUUUCUUUUCUUUCUCUUUCUUUCUUUCUUUUUCUUUCCUUCUUUCUUUCUUUCUUCUUUCUUCUUUUUUUUUUUUUUGAUGGGAUCUCUUUCUGUCACCCAGGCUGGAGUUCAGUGAUGCUAUCUCAGCUCACUGCAACCUCCUCCUGGGCUCAAGCGAUCCUCCCACCUCAGCCUCCCCAGUAGCUGGGACCACAGGUGCCUGCCACCACACCCGACUAAUUUUUUGUAUUUUUGGUAGAGAUGGGGUUUCUGCCCAGGCUGGUCUUGAACUUCUGAGCUCAAGCGAUCCACCCGCCUCAGCCUCCCAAAGUGCUGGGAAUACUGGCUUGAGCCACUGCGCCCAGCUAUGCAGUGGAACAUUUCUCAGCCAUAGAAGAGAAUAAAGUACUGAUACAUGCUACAACAGGGACAAACUUUGAAAACAUUAUGCUAAGUGAAAAAAGUCAGUCACAAAUGAUCACAUGUUACAUGAUUUCAUUUACAUGAAUUGUUCAGAGAAGGCAAAUCUGUAGAGAGAGAAAGAUUAGUGGUUACCUAGGUCUGGGGGUUUGGGGGAAAAUGGGAGUGACUGGUAAUGGGUAUGGGGUUUCCUUUUGAGGUUAUGAAAAUGUUCUAAAAUUGUGGUGAUGGUUUCAUGAGUAUGUGAACAUGCUAAAAGCAAUUGCCUUGUACACAUUAAAUGCGUAAAUUAUAUGGUAGAUGAGUUAUAGCUCAAUAAAGCUGUUCUAUAAAAAUAAACCACUGGGCACUGUGGCUCACGCCUGUAAUCCCAGCACUUUGGGAGGCCGAGGCAGGCAGAUCACCUGAGGUCAGGAGUUCGAGACCAGCCUGACCAACAUGGUGAAACCCUGUUUCUACUAAAAAUACAAAAUUAGUUGGGUGUGGUGGUGCAUGCUUGUAAUCCCAGCUACUCAGGAGGCUGAGACAGGAGAAUCACUUGAACCUGGGAGGUGGAGGUUGCAAAUGAGCCGAGAUCACGCCAGAAAAAAAGAAUAGGUUAACAUAGACUCAGUAUACAAGAAAGGGAAGUGUGGCGGCUCACAUCUGUAAUCCCCGUGAAGUGGGAUUUGUUUAACAUUUUUUGAAAAUCAGAAUAAAAAAGAUUAGUGCUUAAACUGAUACUCUCUAGUUAUUUGGAAAAUACAUUUAUGUAAAACAUGUGUUUUCCUAUUAUAGUCUAAAUUAGAACAUUGGAGCACCUAGCAACAUCUUAAAGCUAGUUAAACAGAAUGACAUCAUAUUUUGACCAUACUGUUUUGAAAUUGUGCAGUUUCUCUUUGUAUCUCUAGAGUGAUUCAUGAAUAUGUAUUUGGCUUCUCAAAUUAAAAAUAUUUCACUGCUAUUGAACUAUUCCUUUAAUAUCUGUAUAAAUGUUUUUAAGUAUUAUAUUUUGAGGAUUUUGAAGCUUUAGGUUUCUUAUUUAAAAUA
rnacentral:lncRNA from 10 species